rnacentral:lncRNA from 1 species
GACCUUUCCAACUGCAUUCAGAAUAAAUUCCCCCUCCACGUAUAAAUGCAAGCCCAGCAAAACCGAUGCCUAUACAUUAGCAUGCAAACUAGCAUAUUAGACGCUAAAAGGUAACGAUGAAAAACACUUUUGCCCUCUACUUAAUUUGCAUAAGCACUUUCGUUCCUCUUCCUGUUGAUUGAAAUUGAUUUGAAUUCGAUUGCCGAACACGCCAGUCAGCAACAUGUCAGGAAAGCGCACGCUGUUAGCAAAGAGAACGAGUUUGUGUACAGUCUCCAUUAUUUCAAUUUAAUAAAAAGACAAACAAAUCCCAGCUGGUGUCACCUAAAACAUCUCUCUAGUUGCGUGUCACGAGGAGUAAUAAGGCUGCUAACAGCAUCGGGAUGCAGAGAUUUCUGGCAUGGCGACGGCCUCUCGGGGGGGUCUGACGAACAACAGCUUUUUUCUGCAACUUCAUAAUGAUCUCGGAUCUGUGAAACAAACCCCGUAUUCUUCUUAUUAGUUUUAUGUUGUGCUGUAACUGCAACGACCUGCUUGCAAACCGCCGUUUCCCAGAUGGCAAACAUUUGCUUUGAUUGUAGCUGAAGCGAGCAGCCGUUAAUGAGACUUUGAUGAAGGUAAGGCUGUUUGUUAUAUAAUACACCUAUAUGACACCUACGGAAGUGUACGGCUGCGAGUGUAAUCAUCCAUUCAAGCUGAAAUGUGAUAAAGUGCAGGGGUUGUCUGUGCAUCGAGGGUGUGAAGGUGUCUUUAUCAAUCUUUCAGGAUAUCCAGAUGCAGAGGCUUCCUGAUGAAGUCGUCUCCACUCUCGUUCCUUCUGCAUGUUUGUCUGUCCUCAAUAUUUCAUCUGCUACCCUCCACUGAAAGAACACACACAAGAGUUGGAGCAGCUCCUAGUGGAGGCCUUGAAUACAAACACAUUUCACCCUCUGUAUCUGCAGUACUCGAAUUACACACGCCGCCUUAAUGCCUACGCUAUCUUAAUUAGCCAUGCUGAAUAAACUGAAGCUCGCUGAAUGACUUGACACUGGGAAACUCUGAAUGAGGCGUUUGGGGUGGUGCUUUUAUUCAUGCUAAAUGUUAGGAAAAGGGGUGAGGAGAGGUCAUCCCAAUGAAAAGUCAAUAAAAGUACAUUUCUUGUUCCUUCUUUUCUGUCUCACUUUCCAUCUCUCUCUCUCUCUUUUUCCGACUUCAAAAGACACAACACCUGGCUUUGAUCCCGAGAUGAAAGAGCAU